rnacentral:rRNA from 1 species
AUUGAACGCUGGCGGCAGGCCUAACACAUGCAAGUCGAGCGAGCGGCGGACGGGUGAGUAAUGCCUGGGAAUUGCCCAGUCGAGGGGGAUAACCUUUGGAAACGACUGCUAAUCCCGCAUCCGAUUGGAUUGCCCAGGUGGGAUUAGCUAGUUGGUGAGGUAAUGGCUCACCAAGGCGACGAUCCCUCGCUGGUCUGAGAGGAGGACAAGCCAAACUGGAACGGAGACACGGUCCAGACUCCUACGGGAGGCAGCAGUGGGGAAUAUUGCACAAUGGGGGAAAGCCUGAUGCAGCCAUGCCGCGUGUAUGAAGAAGGCCUUCGGGUUGUAAAGCACUUUCAGCGAGGAGGCGUUACGCGCAGAAGAAGCACCGGCUAACUCCGUGCCAGCAGCCGCGGUAAUAC